AGGACGAACGCUGGCGGCGUGCUUAACACAUGCAAGUCGAGCGGAAAGGCCUUUCGGGGUACUCGAGCGGCGAACGGGUGAGCAACACGUGAGUAAUCUGCCCAUCGCUUCAGGAUAGCCAUCGGAAACGGUGAUUAAUACUGGAUAUGACAUUCCUUCGCAUGUUGGGGUGUGGAAAGUUUUUUCGGCGGUGGAUGUGCUCGCGGCCUAUCAGCUUGUUGGUGGGGUAAUGGCCUACCAAGGCUUUGACGGGUAGCCGGCCUGAGAGGGUGACCGGCCACACGUGGGACUGAGACACGGCCCAGACUCACGGGAGCAGCAGUGGGAAUAUGGACAAGUGGGCGAAGCCUGAUCCAGCAACGCGCGUGAGGAUGACGGCUUCGGUGUAACCUCUU
rnacentral:rRNA from 1 species